rnacentral:piRNA from 2 species
UGGGUCCAGGUGCUGGGGUGAUUACCCUUA